CCUACGGGGGGCAGCAGUAGGGAAUCUUCCGCAAUGGAGGAAACUCUGAUGCAGCGACGCCGCGUGAGCGAUGAAGCCCUUCGGGGUGUAAAGCUCUUUCGACAGGAACGAUAAUGACGGUACCUGGAGAAGAAGCUGCGGCUAACUACGUGCCAGCAGCCGCGGUAAUACGUAGGCAGCAAGCGUUGUUCGGAAUUACUGGGCGUAAAGAGUGUGUAGGCGGUGCUCUAAGUUCGGUGUGAAAUCUCCCGGCUUAACUGGGAGGGUGCGCCGGAAACUGGAGUGCUCGAGCGCGGGAGAGGAAAGCGGAAUUCCUGGUGUAGCGGUGAAAUGCGUAGAUAUCAGGAGGAACACCUGCGGUGUAGACGGCUUACUGGACGGUAACUGACGCUGAGGCACGAAAGCGUGGGUAGCAAACAGGAUUAGAUACCCUUGUAGUC
rnacentral:rRNA from 1 species